rnacentral:tRNA from 1 species
GCCUUCUUAGCUCAGUGGUAGAGCGUUGGUCUUGUACUAAAUAGCAGCAAACCAAAGGCCGAGAGUUCGAUCCUCUCAGGAGGCA